CUUUUUUAUAGGGCCUCAUGUUUUAAUUGUGUAUUAAAAUGGGAGGUUCCCCCGUAUCACUGUGAAUGGUGUGGCCCAUCUCACAGCUUCUUAACCUCCUUGGUCUGCUGUCUCUGAAAUGGGAGGAAGCAGGACCACCUCCUGGAGGGACCCCCUCCCGGGAUGAAGUGAGGAUGAGUGUGGACUGCAGGCUCAGACCUGAUGCUUCUCCUGCUGGUGCUUCAUAGCUCAGCGGGACACGCCCCCACACUGCCCCUGCACCGACCCGACAUGGGGUCAGCAGGCUCAGAGGCGCAUCCAGACCUGAGCCAGCUUGGACUUCCCAGGCCCCCGUUGCUUUACAGUCAGAAUGGAAAAAAAAUUAACAACAACCUUUUUUUUUUUUUAUUCCACUUGGGAGCUGAGCAGAUUUGCCUUGGAGACGUGUAGAUAUCUAUGAAAACAGUCCUAAUUUUAGCCUUGCCACACUUAAUGCCAACUUGGAGAGUGCAAUACUGGGUCAAGGCCCAGGGAGUAGGGAAGGUGAGCCGGCCGUAGGGGUCAGAACAAGCACGGGGUAGCCAGUGGGAGAGUGUCAUCCAAAUCUAAGCAGUUGGCGUAACUCUGAAGGGGCUGGAGAGAGGAGCACGUAGCAGCAGCCAGCUAGUGUUUUGAACGAGGGGAUCUCCCUCACCUCCCCCUCUCACUCUCUCUGUCUGAAUUAUGUUCAUUUGCCAGCCCGGUUCUAGACCUUCAUUUCCACUUCCUCACCUGUGGAAUCAGCCACUCCCGCCCUGACUUUCCAUCAUCUUUACAAUUCUGUUGAAGCAUUUAAGCAGCUCAUUUAGUUUUGAGGUUAAUCCAUGUCCCCCAUUUGUUUCUGAGUCCCUCAAGGUCAGCCACAGCCACUGUUGAGUCUGUAAGCUGAGCUGCCAUGGAGCAGCCAUGCAGAAAAUGAGCAACCAGUGGCAUUGGACAUGAUUGGUAAUGUUCGGUGGACCAGACCAGGGCCUGGGCAGCUACUAGAAAGGGAUAUUAAACGACUAUCAGAAAGUCUACAGAAACACUUUUGAUGGGAAGAAUCUACUUGGAUGGGUAUGGAAAUUGCCUUAAUUUGAAUAAGGACGUGCUGGGGAGGCCACAGGCAAGAGGUGGCCGUGGCUGGUACAGUGGGUGUUGGGAAGAAACGGAUGGAGUUCAUUUCACGUAAGGUAGGAGCAUUAUUUCCAUCAUGACAACCCCGCCCUGCUAGCUAGGUCAGCUCCUGGCAGAAAUCCUUGUAGAAUAUCAAACACAGGACGAACCUUAGAUGUUAUCCAGUCCUCUGUGUUUUUAAGCCCAGUAUUUAAGACAAGCAUUUUUGCAUGUAUACUUGCUGAUUUAUUUUAAUGUGCAUAUGUAAACCAUAUGGCACUAGCCUACCAGACCUGCCAUUUCUCAGGUAUUACCACUUAGGGUGUGGCAGGUCAUGGUAGGUCCCUCUUGUGAUUGCAGGGUGGUGUUCCCAUUGACUGACUGCCUCUUGCACGCUCCCUACUGGGGAUCGAGCCCGCAACCCAGGCAAGUGCCCUGACUGAGAAUGGAACGGUCACCUCUUGGUUCCUGGGUCUAUGCUCAGCUACUGAGCCACACUGGCCAGGCUCUGGUAUGAAUUUUUAUACUGAAUUUCCCCUAUGCCUUGUAUUCUUUCAGCAGGGUGCAAAGCAACACGGUUUGGUAAAAUCGGGAAGGUUGUGUGCAAGGGAUUGCAAAGUGACAGGUAGGGACCCAUUUCAGCCCCCUUCUGUGAAUGAUGCAAAGGUCGACCAGAUGGCUGUUUUAAUGAGAGCAUUUGGGGCUGAACCCCAUCUCUUCCUCCUGUCGGCCCCUCUUGACAUUCUAGAUAGAAUGCAAACUUGUUCCUACCGAACAGUUGGGCACGUGAAGUUACCGCGUUUGAUUCCACUACCAUCAUUGUGCAGCCAACACGCUCUUCUUUACUACACAGCAAGGGGAGCCCGACACUGAAGGACUGAAAUAACCCGCUGAGGCCUUUCCUGCUGAACCCAAAGCAACCCUGGCUUGGCCUGCGGUCCCCGGAUUUCACAAUCACUCCCUGCAGCUGGACUUUGCUCCUGAUAUAGUCCCAUCCAUCAGGCCUGUCUCUCUCACUCUUCCCAUGUGUGUCUCCCGAUCACCUUUACCCCGCUGCUCUGCUCAUCACCUCGAUUCCCAGCCCUGCCUCCAGGUUGGCUCACAGUUUUUAGAUGAGACAUAGAUGACAGCCCCAGCCUCGAAUGCAGAACACAUUCUGACAAAUUUUAAUCACAAACUACAGCUGACCUCCACUGUGGAACAACAUUUAGUGUCCUCUGCUUUCUUUACUAUCACCCACCCUGACACAGAGCCCAUUUUCCUGCACGGAUCUUCGAGGAGGGAGGGGACAGCCGGGAGCAGUCGCAUCUGGUCACUGUGUCCAUCUGUGGUCGCCACAUGCCCCGCCCAGCACAAGAAGGCUGCCUGUCAUUGCAACUUGUUUUCUUUCCCAGCCAGACCUUGAGAUAUGAUCACAUGCCACUAAAAAGGGGGUUUGUUGGGGUUGUGUGUCUUCAUUAAAGAAUACCCUGGUUCUUUAGGAAGCAGGAAUGUUGGCAUCCUUUUCAGAGUGACACUGACACACUCCACUUCAAACAAAUAAAUGUUUCCAACAUAAACAAGUCGUUUGGUGGGAACGGUGAGUGCACACGCCGGCAUAUGGGCCGAGAAGAAGUGAGUGGGCAGGACUGCAUUUGAGGCUAAGAAACGUAAAAUAAUGAGACCUUGUUAUCAUGGCUAUAAUAGCCGCUGCUGUACACAUGGAAAACAGAGAGGAAAGCAGAGAAAUUGUUUAAAUUGCUGGGGUCAGGCAGAGUCUUCUCUCGGGUAGAAUCCAGUUACAGCGCUUUCUUUUUCCCCCUCUUUAUUAUACUUAUUAGAGAAGGUAAAUAUAUGAUGUUUUUUUUGUUGUUGUUCUUUGUUUUUUAUCAAGGUGUGUUUAUGCAGAUUCUUCUCUGUGCGAUCUCCAUCUCUGAUGAUUAGGUUGCUCCCCCCCACCCCCACCCCCAUCCCCAGUGUGGGAGGAGGGUGCCUUCACAGGGGAAUCUCCCUGCCCUGCUUUUAGGGGGGUAGGGGUGCGCAUGGUGCAGAGUCCGCCUGUGUCUGCUUUUUCUCAAUGCUUCUGCUCCAGGUAGACCCUCUGCCGAGUGGGUCAUUUCGGGGUGGCAUAUUCUGCUCCCCUAGUAGGGGACACAGCGGGCUGCAAACCUGGGUGGGUGGGAGAAAGCAGAAGUUCUCUGGAGCUUCAGAGCUCACACAGUUGCAUGUAAGUCUGGGGUCCAACCUGCACCAGGGUGCCCUUUGGUCCAGGUUGUGUUGGAAAGGCAGCUGGUGGAGGAGAAUCUGAAGACCCGGGGCUCCCUGCUGCCACCAUGUGAUUGCUAGGCAGUCACGUGACCUCUCCAAGUUGCACUUUUCUCAUUUCCAAACUGGGACAAGGAUGCUGAUUUCUCUUCGGAUGCAUGGUCCUGUGAGGGCCACCUCCUUCGCUUCCUGUAGGUCUGUGCUCACAUUUGCAAUGUCACUGCUGUUCCCAAUCCCCUUUGCUCUGCAUUUUCUCUAUUUUCACAGCCCUUACCACUUUCUAACGUUGGAUAGGAUGGAUAUUUGCAGUGUAUUAUGUUUAUUUUUAAUGAACUCUUUUCCUCCAUUGGAAUGCAACCUCAUUAAGGGUUGGGAUCUUUAUUUACUUUGCUUCUAGUCCUCCCUGAAAUUCCCCAACACAAGCAGGUGUUGUGAAGAGUUGACCACGUCCCCGAGCAAAGAAAACAAAACCCACCCCCUUCCGGCUGCUGUGGGCUUGGUGCCGGCCGGGCUCUGAGAGCUGGACAUGAAGAAUUUCACAGCACACUGACCUAUGGCAGGGUCACUGUGUGAUGGUGAUAAAACAAGACAAAAACAAGGCGGCUCCGUAAUCAAGAGUGAGCCCAGAGGAAAGCCGGAACACUGCCGUCCACAGAAAUUGCAAUCAUGCCCUCUCAGCCCCACAGACGCCGGCUGUUUCUUUACCGAUUACAGCUCAGGUCUGCCCUGUGCCUCCUGCCCGCUGGGUAAACAUCGUAAGGACACCUGGCCACAGAAUUCCUGCUUUAUGGCAGCACCCACCUCCUGGAACCCGCCCCCAAAUCACUGAAAAGCCCAGACUGUAUAAUGAGCACCCCCUGACAUCCUCUUACCGAGACCCCUGUGAGUCUCUGUGGCGUGAUAACCUCAACUUUGUUUGACUUCGAUUGUAUUGCUGGGGUCUUCGCCGGGAAGCUUCAGCGUCACAUGUCAUGGUGAAUAAAAUGGCGUAAUUAGGCAUCAUUA